GGAAAAGUCGUAACAAGGUCUCCGUUGGUGAACCAGCGGAGGGAUCAUUACCGAGUUUACAACUCCCAAACCCAAUGUGAACCAUACCAAACUGUUGCCUCGGCGGGGUCACGCCCCGGGUGCGUCGCAGCCCCGGAACCAGGCGCCCGCCGGAGGGACCAACCAAACUCUUUCUGUAGUCCCCUCGCGGACGUUAUUUUUACAGCUCUGAGCAAAAAUUCAAAAUGAAUCAAAACUUUCAACAACGGAUCUCUUGGUUCUG
rnacentral:misc_RNA from 1 species